UACUCAGGUAUGUAUGUGAUGUUUGAGUCAAGGUUUGAGAAGUACAAGUUGCACUCCAAGAAAGAAGAGGAGGAGAAGAAUUUGGUGUCCAGAAAGGAAGUCUUCAAAGCCGUUCUUUGCCAUCAAGUCAUGUCAAUUGCUAUUAACCUCUUCACGUAUGCGGUAUGAGUAGCAAUUAAUGGCUUUUCUUUUUCUUUUCCUUUCUUUUGAUGCAAUUAUAAACAAAAUUUUUUCUUCUUUUUUAUUGUAAGUUUGUAACUUUCAAGGAUCAGAUAAAAUAUCAGAGCACCACCAUUUUCUAUUUGUAUCAGAACUUGGAACUUAAUUUGUUUUGGUUGCAGGUAACAAGAGAAAAAGAUGGUGAGGCAUCUCCAAAGAAAUCACUAACCUUGCUUCUUCUAGCCAAGCAAUUGGUGAUAGCAAUGGUGGUGAUAGAUACAUGGUCGUUUUUUGUACAUUGGUACUUGCAUCAGAACAAGUUUUUAUACAAACACCUUCAUGUUCCGCAUCACCGGCUGGUUGUUCCCUAUUCAUUUGGAGGACAGUAUAUGCAUCCAAUUGAGGGGUUCUUGGACACCAUGGGCGGAACAUUAGCUGUACUCCUCUCCGGCAUGUCUCCUCGGACUGCCAUGUUUUUCUCCUCCUUUACCAUCCUUAAAUUAGUGGAUGAUCAUUGCGGGAUGAAGCUUCCCGGAAACCCCUUUUACCUCUUUUUUAACAACAAUUCGGCAUACCAUGAUGUCCACCAUCAGCUUUAUGGUACCAAAUACAACUUCUCUGUCUACUUUGACAUAUGGGACAGAAUUCUAGGAACCUAUAUGCCUUAUUCACUUGAGAAGAGACCUGAUGGCGGCCUUGAAGUACGACGUGCUGAUCAAGAACACAAGAAGGAUUGAUUGAUUAAUUACUUGAUUAAUCAGCCAAUUAUGAUAACUAGUGAGCAUGGAUUGAUGAAUGUUCCAUUAGGUUUUAUAUAUGUAUCUAAUGUGUAUGUAUUAUGUGUACUACUAUGCUUCACUAGGAGUAAAGGCAAAUCUGGUGUGAAACUAAGUCAAUUAUGAUGACUAGUGAGCAUGGAUAUUGAUGAAUGUUCCAUUAGUUUUUAUAUAUAAUAUCUAUAUGUAUUCUAUAUAUUUCUCUGCUUCACUGGCAAUAAAGGCAAAUCUGGUAUUGAACUAAAUAUUAUGAAUAAAACUUGAAGCUUAUAUUCUACAAAUGGUUAACUCAUUUCUUUUAGCAGCUUGAUUUUGGCAUUGUUUUUAUCUCUAUCCCAAACAUCUACAAAGUUAAACCUUUUAAAUAUCAUCGAAGUUAGUGUAUUUUAUUAGAUGUAUGCCAAUUCACAGCUCGAAUCUGAUCAAAUCGAACUGGUGAUUUUUUUUUUUUUUUUGGGGGGGGGGGAGUGGGUGGGUACAAAUAAAGAGUUCAAAGACAAAUUAGACUAAAUACCAGCACCUAGAGUGAAGCAGCAUCCUUCUGUAACAUAGGUCAAAUAGCAGCAGGAGGCUCGUGGCGAUGCUGGAAGCCUGUUCCUGAGUAAAUCAUAACGUCAAACAUUAAAAAUUAUUUGGCAGAAAAUUUUUUUUGAAGAGUAAACAAAUUUCUUUUUAUUAUUAUCUAUUUCUGGC
rnacentral:lncRNA from 1 species